rnacentral:lncRNA from 10 species
CCAGAUGGAACACAGUGACCCAAAAGAAGGCUGGGCGUGUAUAAAGGUGUUGCAGGACUUUUCCUUAGUUCGGCUAAAGACGGGGUCCUUGUCCGUCCCAUGGCCGUGAAAAUUUAGGCUCAUAGACGGUUUGAAUGGUGAGUAGGAGAGAGUAGUAUUGAUUGAAGAGGAAGAAAAGAGGCUCGAAUCAGGGACUCUCGCAAGGCGAGCCCCUGCUAGAGCGCUUCCCGCCUGCAGCUUGAAUCCCGGGUUCCACACAGGAAGAGGAGGGACCAGGCUCCUCCCUGCUCCAAAGGGCACGAACUUCUGUGUCUCCACCCCAGUGCGCAUUUCUCCUAGUGCGCAGGCUCGUUGGAGGUUUUCCGGGGACCCUUUCCAACCUGGCUGUCUCAAAGGGAACCAGAUUAUGCAAGGCUUUGUGUUCCAGCUUAGGCUAAACCAAGAACAACUUUAUCCUAAGGUCAAGAGGAAAUAUUUGAUAGGUUCUAAAGAAGGGAGGAGGAAACUGAGACCCAGGCAGAAGAAUUUGUUCUUCAAACUGCGAAAGCAGAGCUACCCCAAUUCAUCCACACACAUAGUAUUUCAGAGAAAAAAAGAAAACCCUAUGAUGGCAAGCAGUCAUAAGGAUGAAUGAGUGGCUUGAUCUCGGCUCAUUGCAACCUUCGCCUCCUGGGUUCAAGCAAUUCUACCUGCCUAGCCUCCCGAGUAGCUGGGAUUACAGGCACCCUGCAUCACAACGGCAUCACGCAUUCGAAUUUAGUAUUUUAGAGUGAUCUUAAUAGGUUUUCUACCAGGUGAACUACGUGGUCAUGGAAGCACUGUUGAUGGUGUGGCACUACUGCCUGUUCUUCAAAGGAAGUCAGGGACCCCCAAAUGGAGAGACCAGCUGGAGCCGAGGCAGAAGAACAUAAAUUGUGAAGAUUUCAUGGGCAUUUAUCUGUUCCCAAAAUUAAUAGUUUUAUAAUUUCUUAUGCCUGUCUUUACUGCAGUCUCUGAACAUAAAUUGUGAAGAUUUCAUGGACAUUUAUCACUUCCCCAAACAAUACUCAUAAUUUCUUAUGCCUAUCUUUACUUUAAUCUCUUAAUCCUGUUAUCUUCAUAAGCUGAGAAUGUACGUCACCUCAGGACCACUAUGGUACAAACUGAUUGUAAAAUAUGUGUAUUUGAACAAUAUGAAAUCAGUGCACCCUGAAAAAGAACAGAAUAACAGCAAUUUUCAGGGAACAAGAGAGAUAACCAUAAGGUCUGACUGCCUGUGGGGUCAGGUAGAAUAGAGCCAUAUUUUUCUUCUUGCAGAGAGCCUAUAGAGGGAUAUGUGAGUAGGAGAAAUAUCACUGAAUUCUUUUUCCAGCAAGGAAUAUUAAUAAUUGAUAACUGUGGGGAAGGAAUGCAUUCCUGGGGGUAGGUCUGUAGACAGCCGCUCUGGAAGUGUCUGUCUUAUGUGGUUGAGAUAAGGACUGAAAUACGCCCUGGUCUCCUGCAGUACCCUCAGGCUUACUAUCAUCCUAGUAAGCCUGAUAAAUUCCAGCCUGGUAAAUUCUAAUCAGACCAGUUGUCUGCUCUUGAACCCUGCUUCCUGUUAACAUGUUUAUCAAGACAAUGUGUGCACAGCGGGACAUAGACCUUCAUCAGUAAUUCUAAUUUUGCCUUGCCUUGCGAUCUUUAUUGCCCUUUGAAGCAUAAGCAUAUGAUCCUUGUGACCUACUCCCUGUUCGUACCUCCCCUCCCCUUCUAAAAUCCCUA